AUUCCAGCUCCAAUAGCGUAUAUUAAAGUUGUUGCAGUUAAAAAGCUCGUAGUUGGAUUUCUGGUGGGAGCGAUCGGUCUGGCGCUUAGCGCGAGUACUUGCAUCGUCUCCGGCCAUCCUUGGGGAGAGUUUGUCUGGCAUUAAGUUGUCGGGCAGAGGAUCCUCAUCGUUUACUGUGAAAAAAUUAGAGUGUUCAAAGCAGGCUUAUGCCGUUGAAUAUAUUAGCAUGGAAUAAUAAGAUAGGACUUUGGUACUAUUUUGUUGGUUUGCACGCCGAGGUAAUGAUUAACAGGGACGGUUGGGGUUCUUCGUAUUCAAUUGUCAGAGGUGAAAUUCUUGGAUUUAUGGAAGACGAACUGCUGCGAAAGCGUCGAACAAGGACGUUCUCAUCA
rnacentral:rRNA from 1 species